UCAAGCACCACUUCACGUGCGCCUCCUCCCAUCUCAUGUACUGCAUCUCUUGCAGCAGAUGUGGCAUGCUUUACAUUGGGGAAACUGGAAGAUGUUUGGUAAGGACAAGAUUUGGUGAGCAUCGGCGUGCAGUUAUUGGCAAUGAUGCUAACCAACCUGUUGCCAGACAUUUUAACAGUGAUGGCAAUCACAGUGUUUCAGAUAUGUUAAUUCGAGCCCUCUGUUCCAUUUCUGGAAGCAACGAUAGCCGCAAACGACAUGAAAUGCGCCUCAUAUCCAAACUUGGC